CCAUGAUUCUCCCACUCCAGACAGAUGCAGGUUAAGAUCCUCCCUGAGCUGCAAGCAAGAGACAAGAGAGGUGGUGUGAACAGUAGCCAUUGUCCUCCUCCCUGCAAAGGAUCCAUCUGUUAAUGGACACUGUGAUGUCAUGAAAGCCUAUGAAGUACGUUUUGCUGAUGGUAAACCAAUGACACCAGGAAGAGGGCUUCCCUGCCAGGCCUCAGGCAUGCAUAUGUGAAAAGGAAAGGGACAGAGCUUCCUCCUAAACUCAGUCUCCAAAGGGGAAUGAAGAGCCCAGCUGACGUGAUGGAAUCACAGCUGUCCAGCAAACUGACUCCUGUCCACAGGAGACAGGGUGAUAAUACAGAAAUAGAUGCCACAAUGUGCCGUUUCUUGGUCAUUCCCUCGAGUAGAUCCAACAACGUGUACAGAAGUACAAUGUACAGUGUACAUUGCUCUUAGAGUUUAUUUACUUUUCUCCAAGGCUCCAGGGAGCUCCAUGGGGCCUGCAUGAGUGGGUUAAGAAUUCAAGCAGAAAGCUUCCAUUUUUAAGUAAUUUUACAGAAGGAAAGACUCUGAAAAUUUGGAAACCAGAAUGGACUACUCUUGGAGUCCAUCAUGUAAAGAACUAAUCAACUGAAAGGGGAUAGUUCCACAAGGAAUGAUUGGUGAGGGCAUCGGGGAUGUUAACGCUGCAGUUUGCAUCUCCUACUUUCUCUCUUUAAGCUAACCAGCGCAGGGAGCUCUUCCUCAUCAGGAUGAGCAUGACUGUCUCUCCUGAAAUCAGUCAGAUGCUGCAGCAUUGCCACCAGUCUGUCAUCAUCAUCAUCAACAUCAUCACCACCAUCAUCAUCAUUAUCAUCACCACCAUCAUCAUCAUCUUCAUCAUCACCACCACUAUCACCAUCAUCAUCAUCACCACCACCACCAUCACCAUCAUCACCAUCAUCAUCGUCUUCCUCCACUGGCUUCCCACUAUAGGAGCACAGUAGAACAUAAUAUUUUUCUUUUAUUUCUUGGCAGGUUCCUACAAUACACCCUAUUGUGAUUACACUCCCACUGCCCUCGUUAUGUUCUGCUAUUCCUCCACUCCUUCCCACCCAGUCCAUGUGAGACUGUACCAUUAGAAAAACCAACACCUUCUCCUCCAGCAAAUGUCAGCAGUUAUCAGCUCCUUAGGAGGGGAUGUGGCUUCAUAUGCACCUGCCCCGGCCCAUGAUGGGAAGGUGGAGGGCCCAAUCUCAUGGUAUGGAGCCGAUGGCUUUGUGUAUGCUCAGCAUGUGCCUGACUGCUGAGCGACACCUGCAAGCUGACUGGGGUCGCCUCUGUUCUUCUCUACUGCCAGCGGCCAGAGACCUGCUGGAGCUCGUGAAGGGACUAGUCCUGCAGAACAACUCUCUAUCCUUGGAGCAACCAUGGGAUAUCCCAGAGGAGGUUGGAUGAGGAUCCAGUGAUGACUGUACCAGGAGCCAGAGGCCUUCGACCAGACAGUGACUCAUCAUAAGUGAACAUUAGCUAGUAAAGCUGAUUGGACAAAGUGUGCACUGUGUGACACUCUGCUCCCAAUGCCACCGGGACCAGUAAAGAGGAGGAAAGAAGGAGAAGUGAAGGACUUUUUUGUUUGUUUGUUUUGCUUUGUUCAUGUUUUUGUUUGUUUGCUUUCUUUGUUUUGUUUAGGUUUGAAAUUUUCUUUCGGGGGGAGGGGCACUGCAGGAGUAAGGGGAGGACCCGCUCUUGCACCAUAUCCACAGCAAAAGGAUGCUCAACUGCAUCCAAUUAAACAAACAAACAAAAAAAAAAAAACACCACUGCCUCUUUCUCCCCCCACCCCACAAAGAACAACAACAACAACAAAACUCCAAAUUUACCCACAUUUAUGAAGGCAAACACUGGCUCUGGCAUCUCCCAGCUGGCACUGGGUGGUGAGAACUCUGCGCUGUGCCGUCGGUUCU